UACGUAGGGGGCAAGCGUUGUCCGGAAUCAUUGGGCGUAAAGCGCGCGUAGGCGGCCCGGUAAGUCCGCUGUAAAAGUCCAGGGCUCAACCCUGGAAUGCCGGUGGAUACUGUCGGGCUAGAGUCCGGAAGAGGCGAGUGGAAUUCCUGGUGUAGCGGUGAAAUGCGCAGAUAUCAGGAAGAACACCAAUGGCGAAAAGCAGCUUUCUGGGACGGUACUGACGCUGAGACGCGAAAGCGUGGGGAGCGAACAGG
rnacentral:rRNA from 1 species